CGGUAAUUCCAGCUCCAAUAGCGUAUGCUAAAAUUGUUGCGGUUAAAACGCUCGUAGUUGUACGUUCCUCCAGGGCACUCGGAUUUUUCGUACAGAAGGUUCCGAGUGGUCUGUGAAAUUAUCUUACAAAGCGGUCUCUUGCUGAGCACGCGGAAAGGGAUACUUGUACCUUGAAGAAAUUAGAGUGCUUCAGGCAGAUUAUUGUCUGAAUAUUAUAGCAUGGAAUAGCUGGAGAAGACACUGGUUCUAUUAGAGAUUUGUAGAGCAGGUGUAAUAGUUGAGAGGAACAGAAGGGGGCAUUCAUAUUCGCAUGUGAGAGGUGGAAUUCUUGGAUCUUGCGAAGGUGGACUACUGCGAAAGCAUUUGUCAAGAAUGUUUUCAUUAAUCAAGAACGAAAGUUAGGGGAUCGAAGACGAUUAGAUACCGUCCUAGUCUUAACCAUAAACCAUGCCUUUUGGAGAUUAGGUGAACCUCGAACGCAGAGGAUUCUGGCAUCCUAGGGGAAACUAAAAUUUUUGGGUUCCGGGGGGAGUAUGGUCGCAAGACUGAAACUUAAAGGAAUUGACGGAAGGGCACCACCAGGAGUGGAGCUUGCGGCUUAAUUUGACUCAACGCGAGAAAUCUCACCAGGUCCAGACAUGGGAAGGAUUGACAGAGAAGCAGCUUUUUCUCGAUUACAUGGGUGGUGGUGCAUGGCCGUUCUCAGUUGGUGGGGUGAUCUGUCUGGUUGAUUCCGAUAACGAACGAGACCUCGACCUACUAAAUAAUUAGCACUUUGCUGUAAGUGAUGAUUUCUUAGAGGGACUUUUCGUGUCCAACGAAAGGAAGUAUGGGGCUAUAACAGGUCUGUGUUGCCCUUAGAUGUUCUGGGCUGCACGCGCGCUACACUGACAUAGACAGAGAGAUGUUCCUAUCCGAGGGGAGUGGAGAAACUUGAGAGGAUAUGUCGUGAUGGGGAUAGUUUAUUGCAAUUAUUGAACUUAAACGAGGAAUUCCUAGUAAGCGUAUGGAAUGAACUUACGCUGAUUACGUCCCUGCCCCUUGUACACACCGCCC
rnacentral:rRNA from 1 species